CACCGCGGUUAUACGAGAGGCCCUAGUUGACUAACACGGCGUAAAGAGUGGUUAUGGAACCCUAAAACUAAAGCCGAAAGCCCCUCCUCCUGUCAUACGUACUCAGGGGCCAGAACUACACUACACGAAAGUAGCUUUAUUAACGCCGACCAGAACCCACGAUAGCUGGGGCA
rnacentral:rRNA from 1 species